rnacentral:tRNA from 1 species
GCCGGGAUGGCGGAACUGGCAGACGCAGCAGACUCAAAAUCUGCCGACCUUCGGGUCGUGGGGGUUCGAUUCCCCCUCCCGGCACCA